UUUUAUGGAGAGUUUGAUCCUGGCUCAGAGUGAACGCUGGCGGCGUGCCUAAUACAUGCAAGUCGAACGAUGAAGCUUCUAGCUUGCUAGAAUGCUGAUUAGUGGCGCACGGGUGAGUAACGCAUAGGUCAUGUGCCUCUUAGUUUGGGAUAGCCAUUGGAAACGAUGAUUAAUACCAGAUACUCCCUACGGGGGAAAGAUUUAUCGCUAAGAGAUCAGCCUAUGUCCUAUCAGCUUGUUGGUAAGGUAAUGGCUUACCAAGGCUAUGACGGGUAUCCGGCCUGAGAGGGUGAACGGACACACUGGAACUGAGACACGGUCCAGACUCCUACGGGAGGCAGCAGUAGGGAAUAUUGCUCAAUGGGGGAAACCCUGAAGCAGCAACGCCGCGUGGAGGAUGAAGGUUUUAGGAUUGUAAACUCCUUUUGUUAGAGAAGAUAAUGACGGUAUCUAACGAAUAAGCACCGGCUAACUCCGUGCCAGCAGCCGCGGUAAUACGGAGGGUGCAAGCGUUACUCGGAAUCACUGGGCGUAAAGAGCGCGUAGGCGGGAUAGUCAGUCAGGUGUGAAAUCCUAUGGCUUAACCAUAGAACUGCAUUUGAAACUACUAUUCUAGAGUGUGGGAGAGGUAGGUGGAAUUCUUGGUGUAGGGGUAAAAUCCGUAGAGAUCAAGAGGAAUACUCAUUGCGAAGGCGACCUGCUGGAACAUUACUGACGCUGAUUGCACGAAAGCGUGGGGAGCAAACAGGAUUAGAUACCCUGGUAGUCCACGCCCUAAACGAUGGAUGCUAGUUGUUGGAGGGCUUAGUCUCUCCAGUAAUGCAGCUAACGCAUUAAGCAUCCCGCCUGGGGAGUACGGUCGCAAGAUUAAAACUCAAAGGAAUAGACGGGGACCCGCACAAGCGGUGGAGCAUGUGGUUUAAUUCGAAGAUACACGAAGAACCUUACCUAGGCUUGACAUUGAGAGAAUCCGCUAGAAAUAGUGGAGUGUCUGGCUUGCUAGACCUUGAAAACAGGUGCUGCACGGCUGUCGUCAGCUCGUGUCGUGAGAUGUUGGGUUAAGUCCCGCAACGAGCGCAACCCCCUUUCUUAGUUGCUAACAGGUUAUGCUGAGAACUCUAAGGAUACUGCCUCCGUAAGGAGGAGGAAGGUGGGGACGACGUCAAGUCAUCAUGGCCCUUACGCCUAGGGCUACACACGUGCUACAAUGGGGUGCACAAAGAGAAGCAAUACUGCGAAGUGGAGCCAAUCUUCAAAACACCUCUCAGUUCGGAUUGUAGGCUGCAACUCGCCUGCAUGAAGCUGGAAUCGCUAGUAAUCGCAAAUCAGCCAUGUUGCGGUGAAUACGUUCCCGGGUCUUGUACUCACCGCCCGUCACACCAUGGGAGUUGUGUUUGCCUUAAGUCAGGAUGCUAAAUUAGCUACUGCCCACGGCACACACAGCGACUGGGGUGAAGUCGUAACAAGGUAACCGUAGGUGAACCUGCGGUUGGAUCACCUCCUUUCUAGA
rnacentral:rRNA from 1 species